AGAGAUGAAAUGACAUCGCAGAGCAGGACUGAGAAAACUCUUGGGCUCCAGGAGCCUAGGAACUCAGGAGACUCAGGGCUCACUCCAGUCAUAGCAGAUCCGUGGUGAUGUAGGAGCAAGGCCUCUGCCCAGGAAGUGAGCUUCAUCUCUGGUCUCUCCCAACUCUGUGUGCCUUGGUUACUGCUGUCAAACACAUCAUCUCAAAAAACUGCUUUUUCUGUUGAAGAAUGUUCAGUUGCUCCUUACUGGAUAUCGCAUCAAGGACAAGCUCUUCUUCCUGGCUUUAAAAAUUCUACCUCUGACUGUCAUACUCAGCUUGAGUUCUAUCUGUUCUGAGAAGCCGUCUCCAAACAUUUCUGCCCAUAAUGAUUUCCAUUUCCUAAGGGUGGCUCAGAUGGUAAAGAAUCUGCCUGCAAUGUGGGAGACCUGUAUUCGAUCCCUGGGUCAGAAGAUCUCCUGGAGAAGGGAAUGGCUAUCCACUCCAGUAUUCUUGCCUGGAGAAAUCCAUGGACAAAGGAGCCUGGCAGGCUACAGUCCAUGGGGUCACGAAGAGUCAGACACGACUGAGCAGCUGUCCCUCACUCACUCGUGUGGAGUAAUGCUCUGU